AGGACGAACGCUGGCGGCGUGCUUAACACAUGCAAGUCGAGCGGUAAGGCCUUUCGGGGUACACGAGCGGCGAACGGGUGAGUAACACGUGGGUGAUCUGCCCUGCACUUCGGGAUAAGCCUGGGAAACUGGGUCUAAUACCGGAUAUGACCUCCUAUCGCAUGGUGGGUGGUGGAAAGAUUUAUCGGUGCAGGAUGGGCCCGCGGCCUAUCAGCUUGUUGGUGGGGUAAUGGCCUACCAAGGCGACGACGGGUAGCCGACCUGAGAGGGUGACCGGCCACGACGUGGGACUGAGACACGGCCCAGACUCCUACGGGAGGCAGCAGGUGGGAAUAUUGCACAAUGGGACGAAAGCCUGAUGCAGCGACGCCGCGUGAGGAUGACGGCCUUACGGGUUGUAAACCUCUUUCAGCAGGACGAAGCGCAGGUGACGGUACCUGCCAGAACGAAGCGACCGGCUAACACGUG
rnacentral:rRNA from 1 species